GAUGAACGCUGGCGGUCUGCUUAACACGCAAGUCGAACGGAAUCCUUCGGGAUUUAGUGGCGGACGGGUGAGUAACGCGUGAGAAUCUGCCUUCAGGUUCGGGACAACAGCUGGAAACGGCUGCUAACACCGGAUGUGCCGAGAGGUGAAAGCUUUAGUGCCUGAAGAUGAGCUCGCGUCUGAUUAGCUAGUAGGAGUGGUAAUGGCACCCCUAGGCGACGAUCAGUAGCUGGUCUGAGAGGAUGAUCAGCCACACUGGGACUGAGACACGGCCCAUACUCCUACGUGAGACAGCAGUUGGUAAUUUUCCGCAAUGGGCGCAAGCCUGACGGAGCAAGACCGCGUGAGGGAAGAAGGUCUGUGGAUUGUAAACCUCUUUUGAUGGGGAAGAAGACAGUGACGGUACCCAUCGAAUCAGCCUCGGCUAACUCCGUGCCAGCCGCCGCAGUAA
rnacentral:rRNA from 1 species